rnacentral:tRNA from 1 species
GGAGGAGUGCGAGAGUGGACGAAUCGGACGGUCUCGAAAACCGUUGUGGUCGCAAGGUCACCGUGGGUUCGAAUCCCACCUCCUCCG